GGUACGAUGGCUGAGCAUUAUUAGGCGGUAGAUUGUAAAUCUAUAAACGAGGGCUACCUCUCAUACCG
rnacentral:tRNA from 1 species